UACUAUGACUCGAUUCCCUUCAGCCUGG
rnacentral:piRNA from 1 species